AUGGAAGGACGGAUUGUAUUACUGUACAAAAAAAAUAUAACCAGAUGCACAGCACAUCAAAACCAGAUCCCUGGGGAAUGGAAAACGUUUGCGGCUGAAGCAGUAAACUACUCGCAGAGGAACAUUGUUUUGGUAGUUUUGGUUCCACUAUUCUGCACGGAUGAAUCUGUCACCACUGCUAAUGUUUCCAGACACCAAAACUCUCCAAAAUAAUCAAAGAAGGAAGAAAAUGAAAGAUUCUGAAAAUUGUUUGAUGAGCUGGUAAGUAGCUUAUUUUCCGUUGUUGUUUAGACCCACUGAAAUCAGUUUGUUACAAAACUUUGGCAACACUUACAUUAAACAGAAAGAUUACUAUUCAUAUCAGAUAAUGUGUGAACUAUUUGAUUCCAAAACUCUUUAUAGGCAAACAGACCAAUGUAGUUACUGGUUUAGAGAAUGACACUGUCACCAACAAACACAUUGUUUUGUAACCUAGUCAGUGCAUGGCAAAUGUGAUGCUAUGUAAACUGUGUUGAUUCAUGUUUUAUUACAGGUGCCGUCGCUUAUACUUUUUGCUUUCUAACCCUUCUCGGUUCCAGGUUCAUUCCACUGCAUAAAAUAAUCUGUCUGUCUUUCUUUUCUUUUCUUUAUUUACGACUGCCGAAUGAUUAAAGUGCAUUAUGUAGUUUCCCAGGAAAUCCAUCAGACAACUAAGGCAAAAAGGGGGGAGGGGGACAAAAACAAAAGGUUAUUAUUUAAAUUCUGUGAAUUUCGUCUAAAAAAAAACAAAGUAGUUCACUUUCAGAACAAACAUUUACAGAUAAUGUAGUCAACCCCCUUUUCAAUAAUAAAAUGUUCAUGUCUUUCUUCAGUCAUAAAUAUAUAUAUAUAUAUAUAUAUAUAUAUAUAUAUAUAUAUAUAUAUAUAUAUAUAUAUAUAUAUAUAUAUUAGCAAAAAUUAUAUAUAUAAUGGACUUCUAUGGUGCCCCCUGAGUCUGAACUUCCAAAAUGAAGUUUAAAUGCAACUUCAAAGGGAUUUUAGAUUUUAGAGUCCUUUGAAGCUGCAUUUUGGAAGUUCAAACCCACCGGGCACCAAGAAGUCCAUUAUACAGAAAGAAAUAUUUUCCUCGAAAAACUGAAGAAAGAAAGACAUGAACAUCUUGGAUGACAAGUUGGUGAGUACAUUAUCUGGAAGUGAACUACUCCUCUACUCUAAUUUCUUUAUUUCUCCUCAGGAAUGAACAUCUGUGCCAUCUAGAAGAAACAUUUGAGACAUUGUUGACUUUUAAAUGGGCUCUCCAUUAUGUCACCUGAGCUACAAAACAAAGCUCUUGUCAUGAUUACAAGGGAAUACUGACAUUUACACCAGGUACGCACUAACACACCCUAAUGCUGAGGAUGCUGGAAAAUGUUCUCAUUCUGCAUGAACAAAGUGGUGUUCUUUACAGAGUUCUGGGCUUUCCGCCCAUGUUUUUGAUCCACUUGGAUUUAAGGCAUUCUGACAACAUGGAACAUUUGUGAGAUUACUGUAGGGAGUGAUUCUGUUCCGGCUGGCGGAAGGAUUCAAGUUCAGCUGGUUCCCCUUCAAGUCAGGCAUUAUUACAGACAUCCUGCGGAGGAAGAAGGGCUUUCUAGAACGGACCGUUUCCAGGUUCUCAUGCAGUCACAACAGAGAGCUCACAAACUCCAUUUCACUUAGAGAGCCAUGUGAUGUCAAAUAAAUGUACUGGAUUUAAUAAAUGUUCACUUUUAAUUGCAUCUUUCCCAAAGGCCAAGCAUAACUUCAUUCAAGUGUCCUCUAAAAGGCUUUAAAGUGUACAGUGAAAUGCCAUCAGAGCAGAAAUGACCUUUUAAGGCUUUCUAGGUCUUGGUUAAUGCCUCUUUCUUGUUGGUCUGGCAAAUAAGCCUCAUUUUUCGCUGUUUAGUCACCUAGACUGUUUGAAAAAUCUGCCAGACAUCUGGAAUUGGUCACUAUACAUGUCAGCUUGGCUAAGUCACAUCUUGAAGGUGGUCAUCUAAGUCAAUUUGGGUCAUGCAUACCUGUCACAGCUGAUAAAUGAAGAUUAUAAGACCUAAUCAUAUCAGGCCAGUUGGUGCACAAGGACUUAAGUUACCUGCUGGGAGAAGCUGCUGUUACUGAACAUGAAGUCUCAUGAGGCUGUAUAUUAAAGUGAUAUUUACAAUGGUACAGUCAUAAAAUCACUGUAACCCACAGAUUAGUUUUUUUAUGCACUUCCGUUAAAAAUGUUUAGGCUCAGUUACUUCUUUGUGUGUGUGUUUUUUGGAAAGAAGUAUGCUCACCAAGGCUGCAUUUAUUUGAUCAAAAGUAAAAACAAAAAAAGAACAGUUUCUAUUUGAAAAUGUAAUUUAUUUUUGCGAUUCAAUGUAGUGUGUAUUUAUUUUAUUUAUUUACAUAUCUUAGAAGUAUUCAAUCUAAUUGCUUACUUAAAAAAUAUUUAGAUAUCAGACUGACUUUUGGUUUUCGAGUUUGAAUUAU
rnacentral:lncRNA from 1 species